UGUAGGCAUCUGGAAAAUGUGUCUUUAUUAAAAUUACAUUUAAAAACGAGUGAUAUUCAGGGUCAUGACUUUCUGAACCCAUCAGAGAGCUGAAUUGCAGGGCAAUUAAAUAGUUUAAAAUGAAGGAAAGAGAGGUGCCUCCUACAAUAACAGAGAUGGGCUGCAAACAUUGGAUGACCUGUGGCAGAGCACGGAAAGAAGGCAAGGAUGACAGCUACAUGCAGACAAGGUCUCCAGAUUUGCCACCCAUGCUGAGUGCCGUGGUGUGAUCAUGGCUUAUUUCAACCUCAACCUCCCCCACUCAAGCGAUCCUCCUGCCUCAGCCUCUGGAGUAGCUGGGACUACAGGCACGCACCACCACACCCAGCCAUAAUUUGCCUCUUGCUGUAACUAAAAGGUCACAAAAACAAAGAAUUCUAAAAAAUCUUCUUCUUAAGUGGUAUGUUUAGUAUUUAUCAUGAUGACAAUGUUCUAAAUUGCACCUGCCUCCACUAGCAGAAUGCCAGGAUUACUGCCAGACAGAGAAUUCGGACUGCUGGUCCAGGGACAUAGCUAUGAAAUGCACCAAGGACAGCAGAGUGUGUUUUGGAGAAAGCCAGGUAGCUCUUGAUAGGGCCUAUAUGAGUACUUAUUCCUGCUGAUAGGAAAAAAAUGAUUAGAAAAAUCUCAUUUCUUUAUUCAUUUCUACUCUGAGAGCUUUUUACUUCUAGAAACACGGUCUUAGUUUUCUGUGUUAUUAUGUUUUUUUUUUGAAACUGACAAAAUUUCACAAUUAAUUUAUGUUCAUUCAAAUGUUUAAUAAUUAUACCUUGAAUUUGUCUUAUAAUUAGUAUUUUCUUGUUAUUUCCAACAAGAGAAAGUGUGCAGGAAAAGGGACUAGAUCAGGUUGAGAGAGCCAGGGGUGUUCAGUCAAGCAGGCAGAACUCAGGACACUGAACGGGGUGAGUAUGAGGCAGCCAGAGUCCCCAGACCCGCAGAGGAGGGUCCAAAGGACAGCUUUUCAUGAUCCAGGAAGGAAAUCUCCUUCAAUAACGUCUCUCCUUCAAGAAGCUGGGGGUGUCGCUGGGAUUUAACGUAGAGAUUCCAGUCUUAGAUUGAGGGAAGGAAGGGAGGCAAAAGGAAGGAAGCCUCGCAUCCUCAUGCGAAGAAGCCAGCUUGUAGAAAUGAAGCUCAAAAUGAUCCCUACAGCACAAGCAGUCCAGGGCAUGUGGACUCCUGCUGGGUUGGGGCCAGGACAGGAGAAGAAAGUUUGAUACAGGCCUGAGGCUCGGGAGCCCUGCACUGGCUGUGCGUCUCUACAACCAUCCCAGAGUCGGCCCAGGUACCAGGUCUUCUGGCUCAGAUAAAGAUCACACAUGACUCGCCUGAAAACUUGAGGCAGAGGUGUGCCAUUGUCACAAAAGGCGCUGUCAGGGUGGAGGCUCAGGGAAUGAUAGAGGAGCUCUUGAAUCACCCUGGAGAAAUUUUACCUCGGUCAGACAGCUACAGAGCCGACUUAAUAUUUUUAUUUAAAAUCUAGAUUAUUUGGGGGCUGGUUUGGAAAUGGGGGAGAUCUGUGAGUCCAGGCAUGGUAGCAGGAAGAGAAGAGGCUUCCUUGUAACCCUACUGACUCUUCCUCUCACUUGUCCCAAAAGCACAGGGUGAGAGACAAGAACAUUGGUACAGUGCGUUCAGGAAACUUUUCAACUUUUUAUGUGUAGUGUACCAAAAUAUUUUUUCACACAUGCAAAGACAGUGGUCAGGGGCUAUUCUGGCUUGUUAGAAAAAAGGAUGUGACGUUUUCCAGUCCCUGGGUGGGUCUCAGUUCUCUUAGAGGCUCUGCCUCUCACUCACACCUCUGCUAGAGGAAUGCGAGGAAGCUCUGACAAGAUUGUGAUCUGGGGACACGUUUGCCACCUCAGCGCCAAGGCUGACGUGGGGACAUGGGCUACUCAGUGAACGCACUUUACCCAGGAUACCAAGGGCACUUAAUGAUACCGACAGUUCUGUUUACAUCCUUCUCCACUGCCUCCAGCAUCAUUCAAGGCGUAAUCUCUUGGAAAAGUUUGAUUAGAAUGAAUUCUAGUUUGGCGUAGGUUAUUAUGCACCUAAAUUGGCUAAACUUAGCUUCAUAUAUCAAACAUAAGAUAUACAUCUCUAGAGAUGCGUCUGUGGAGACCUCCAUAGGCACCAGUAUAUAUUAUUCUAAGUUUUACCUCUUUUCUUGUGGAUUACUAACUUUGUGGUUCUCCCUUGAUUAGGUUUAUAUGCAAUUUUCUUAGAAAAUGUCAACUCCAAUUCUGCAACAUACUGAGCCCCUUUAUUGGAAACUUCAAAGUUCCUAGUCCAAUCCUAAUUCUAGAUCUUACUUCAUAUGUUGCUUUUAUCUUCUCUUGGGUAAUGGGUCAUUUCAAGGGUGAUUUUUUUGACUUUAUCUUAUUGGGGAUAUAAGUGCAGAUAAAGGAGAUACAGACGAGCAUUUAAUUUUUUUUUUCAGUGCAGUGAUUAUGGAGUCAGGGUAGUAUUUCUGCUGUGUAUGGUAAACUCCAUAGGAUCUCAUUUAUUCAUGGUUAAAGGCUUUCCUGGGGAAACCAGUAUGCUAACUUCAGGCAGAUAAUAAAACCUGAGGUAUAUGGAGAGUGUCUACUUUGACACAUUCAGGGCUAGCCCUCUCCUGCUGGUGCAGUUCAAUGUGAAUUUAGUCAUUUGUGGUCACUUAACAGCAAAGAGAUCUUUCUACAGAGUCUAGCUGUGCUGAUUAUCAAACUGGGGAAAAUUGAUGGCCAUUUGUUAUGGCUAAUAACACAGGUGCCGGUCAACUUUAUAAAAAUGUAGAAAAGUAUUUGCGGUGAAAAUUAUCCUAACCAUUGUGGAAAAAUGCCCAUCCCACUUCAAUUCAUAGCUGAAUACAUAUAGGAACUACAGUUCUCAGACCUGCAGUGAGUUCUGACCAAUGGAAUUCAGUGGGAUGAUAGAUGCUGCCUUUGAAGCCACCCCAUCAACUGGCUCAUCUCCUCCUGUCUCAGCUCUUUCUCCUGCUGCAUCCUGAUGCAGGACCACUGCACAACCUCACAAACCUUAUGUGGAAAGUAGUGGAGCCACCAGAUGUUAUGGGUAUCCUUUAAUGGAGAACUUUACACUACUUUGAAAUGACAGUUUUAUACUUUUCAUAAGAAAGAAAUAAACUUCCAUUGUACUAA
rnacentral:lncRNA from 1 species